GACGAACCGUGCGAACGUUGUUCGGAAUCACUGGGCUUAAAGGGCGCGUAGGCGGGUCGAAAAGUCCGUGGUGAAAUCCCCCCGCUCAACGGGGGAACGGCCGCGGAUACUGUCGGCCUCGAGGGGGGUAGGGGCGAGCGGAACGCUGGGUGGAGCGGUGAAAUGCGUUGAUAUCGUUUGGAACGCCAACGGAGAAAUCAGCUCGCUGGGGAUGUCCUGACGCUGAGACGCGAAAGCCAGGGGAGCGAACGGG
rnacentral:rRNA from 1 species